GCCACGGUGGUCUAGCGGUUAGAACGCUGGCCUUGUAAUCCUGGGGUCUCGGGUUUGAUUCCCGGCGGUGCCC
rfam:Zootermopsis nevadensis contig18499, whole genome shotgun sequence.